rnacentral:misc_RNA from 1 species
AUGCGAUAAGUAAUGUGAAUUGCAGAAUUCAGUGAAUCAUCGAAUCUUUGAACGCACAUUGCGCCCGCCAGUACUCUGGCGGGCAUGCCUGUUCGAGCGUCAUUACAUCCCUCAAGCCCCAGCGGCUUGGUGUUGGGCAUCGGCCGUCCUCAGCGGCGGCCGUGCCCCAAAUACAGUGGCGGUCUCGCCCCCGGCUCCUCUGCGUAGUAGUAACAUCUCGCACUGGGACGGAGCGUAGGCCACGCCGUAAAACAACCCAAUUUCUGAAUGUUGACCUCGGAUCAGGUAGGAAUACCCGCUGAACUUAA